AAUUAACCAGUAGUCAUUUUUACAGCAUCUAGCAAUAAACUGAGAUGCAGAGUCCAGAUGGGAGUCGUGAGUAAACUUCCCAUGGUUCACACGUGUAAAACCAGUCCGUCAGUAUCUACCGUCCACAGCCAUCUGGCGACUGGAGAGUGGGAGAGAUAUAUUUUCAUCUUGCAGACUUCGCAGAGCCUGAAAACUCUUUAUCACCUCCAGAGAAGGUGACGGGGUAUCAUCCACAGUCUCUUAAUCAUCCAGAGGUAAUUUCACAUGCGUGGUCUGCAGAUGACCUUGACUUUCUCUUUUUGAGCCAGGUGUGCACUCCUGAGAAUUUAAUCCCUGAUUAAGAGUUUUAGGAUUACUUUUUUCAUGCUCUGUUUGAAAAGCUUUAAAAGAGGAGAGGCAGAUAGAGAGAGAGAGAGAGAGAGAGAGAGAGAGAGAGAGAGAGAGAAACAUGGAGGGGGAGAUUUGGUGAUAACCCCAAUGGAGGUAUUGAUUUGGUGAGAGGACCUGCUUCACACCUGGCAAGAAGUUAAUUAAUAUGCCGACAGCUAAUCAGAAGAAGUGAGGUGUACCAGCUGCCUGUGGAUACCUGCUUACAGGCUUUGUGUGUGUGUGUGUGAGUGUGUUUGUUCCUCUUUCCUCAAGCAAGUGUUUGUACCUCUGUGGAUUCAUGCUCGUUUGUUGUGUGCCAGUAAUUACAGAAGGUGUAUAUCAAAUAUGUUCUCCUGAAGAAAAAAACAAAAAACAAAACUUAGAUUGGUUUCUUUCAUUUGCAAACAAGACUGACAUCUUGGAGAAUUUCUAUUUACUCAAGGUGUCAUGUCAUCUGACAGGAGGCAGACUGCAGCUGAACUCAAUUACAGGCUCCCAUACAGGCAGGCACAACAGUGCGGCAGCAUCUGAAUAACACGAUGGAGAAGACAGACGGCAUGUUUGCCGACUUGCUAUCGCUCAUUCUUAUCAUUUUAAACAAUUUCUGUGGACGGACACGGAAAAGUCACUAUCGCAAACCAAAUCGUUCCCAAAAUACAUCCGCUCAAAGAAGUUUAACUUGAGAUGUGUUGCCUGGCUGGUUGCGUGGCCGAACCGUCGCAUUUGUGUCCUUGGUAUCUUUCAGUGGGCUCAAACCAUUAAUUCAAGCCUUCUUCUCUCCCCUCAUAGAAAUGCUGUUUUUCUUUCUCAUCCUUUCACAUGAGUCCUUCAGCAUUCAUAUGGUUUGAGCUUUUGGACUGACUGUCAACAUAUCAGGGUCUAUUGACGGCAGCUGUGGCUCAGAAGCAGGAUGUCCACCAACCAAGGAUCAGUGAUUCAAUCCAAGACUUAAUCCAAACCUUGGGCAAGAUACUGAACCCUGUCCAUCAGUGUGAGACUGCAUGAUAAGCAGGUAGAGGUGGUGGUGUGACCUGUGCUGGUAAUUGCUUUGAGUGGUUGGUAAGACAAGGAAAGCAGUAUAUAAAUGCUGUCCAUUUUCUGUAACCGUCCCCCUAAAUCUCCUACUUCAUACAGUUGAUGGUAAAGAGCAACAGGAAGCAAGACGGGAAGACUACAUGAAACGAAGGUCCUGGAUUUUACCAGAGGGCAUCUUCACAAGGGACCUCGGAUAACUGAGGCGCCAGGAAGCCCCGUCUUCAUGAUGUUGACUCGUGAGGCGGCUGGAUUUGCUCGAUCAUGUGAUCGUCUGAUUUUCCAAAUCCAUUUUGCCAACUUUCAAACAGCCUUCCAUAUUCACACUGUGGCCAUUUUCCUCUGACAUCGAGGUGAGGGUGGGAAGCUCAACUGUGGCACUGCUGUGUUCCCGAAAGUUUAGUGGUUGGACUCCAUCGUGAUGAAGGAACAUUUGCGGAGAUGGUGGAGCUGUGCAUGGACCAGGACAUCCCCCCGAUGGAGUCUGGACACCGGUGUUGGUGAUGAGGAAGAAUGAACAGGGGAGCUGAUUCUGGGUCACACGUGGGCUGGAGGUUUCCUCAGCAUGCCCUGGGUCAAGUUGCUGUCUGUCACACAGUGGAAGAAACACAUUCACACCGCUGGCAGUUUAAGGGUAUCUGCUCCACCCUUUCGCGAGGAAACCGGAGCGCUCAGAGGAAACAGGAGCCGACAAUGUGAGAACACUCACACACCACACAGGAGGAAUCCAGCUGGCAGGAUCAGCUGUUUGCUGCCUCUGCAGGAGCAGAGGCGCUUCAUCAAACUAAAUUAGCUGAUGAAAUCUUAAGUGAAUGGCUAUCACUGUUAUAAGUUUAUUUGUUGAAUUACAUAAAGUUAUAAGACCAAAACUUUUUCUCUGAACUGGUUCAUGUAUUUAAAGGGACAGUUCACCCCGAAAAGAAAACUAAAUAUCUUUCUUCUUACCUGUCGUUAGUUUUUAUCAGUCAGGAUUGUUUUGGUGUGAGGUGCUGUGUUUUGAAGAUAUUAGACCAUGUUGUGAGCAGUUUCAUGUUGCAACUGUUUUCUUCCCACCAAACUGCCAGCAGAGGAGGAAGCAUUCUCUAUUCACUUCAGUAGCGUCACUCUCAAUUGCCAUGAUUUCUGGAAAGAGACACUGCAGUUGAGUUCCCCAAAUGUACGUGUUUGGCGCUGAGUGCCAUCUCCAUCCAUUAUAUUUAACAGAGGCAGACUGCAGCUGAUAUCUCUAAAACUCAGCAACUCCCACCAAAACAAUCUAGAUGGAUAAACAACACUGCAGAUAAGAUACGAUUGAUUUUGGGGUGAACUGUGUCUUUAAAAUGUCAGGGAUAGGUGAAAGUAGACACUUACGAUGCAGAUAACUGCUGCUGUCAUGGCCAGUUUUUAGCUGUGUCAGAACCUUUUAAAUUAUGACCAGUGAAUAUUUGUACCUGUCGUAAAAUAAAAUCUGAUAACUUGGUGUAAUGAUGUUGAUGUUUUAGCGGAGUGAUGGGUCUGGAACAACCUGCAUGGUGCAGAAUGUUAAAAGCUUGAUGAAGUUGCUCUGGGAACUAAAGUAACACCUGACACUUUAUUUUGUUUACUGCUUCACCAUGUGCACGGCAAUAAAGGUGCAAUCUGUAAGCUACGGCCAGAAUUCAAAAAAUGAAUGUGAGGUUAGCAUGCUAACCAGCUAGCCCUGGCCCGUCCUGUCUUGUAGUACCGCUCAUAUUGUAGAUCUUGUUCCGUUGUGAAAUCAGAGACUGUUCAGAGACCCACAGCUUUACAACAUUUUGGUUCAAGAUGUUUCACUCCAAAGAAGGACCGUGUUCUUGAGCCGACAGAGCUCAGGACAACAGCUGGACGAGGAGUGGUGGACUCUAUGUUGGUGACAUCAAAGUGAACAGUGUUUCCGAGAUGCUGAACUUUUGAUGUGAAGACGCCGACCUCAUAAUCAUCACUGUCGAGUUGCUGCUGUUGACAUACACCCUGACGCAGAUUCAAAAGUUUCACUAUCUGUUAAUAAUAUCUGUAUCCUCAUGGCUGUCUAUAUGUUGUUGUAAUUUCUGUAGCAUGACGUAGUUUACAAACUUUGAUUUAGUGAUGCAACCCUGUGUUAUAUAAUUACGAUUAAAAUACCUUUCAUAG